ACCACAAGAGGGCCACCAAGCAACAUCAAUGGAGCAAUGACAAGGCCAACAACACUGCUAUGAGCUAUAGCAGAGAAAGUAGGAUAGUUGGAACCAUGAAUUAAAUGAAAGAAUAAUGGGAUAUUUUCAAAAAUUAUUGACAGUUUACCAAGCCAUGAAAGAUGUUUGGCAUUAAAACCAGGUUCAUAAGGUGAAACAGAACAGAACGACCAGAAUUUAGGCUUGAAAGAUCGCGUAUUGUAAUUCUCUGAACACCCGACUUUGAUAACAAGCGAACAGCAUACAUGACUUGUAUUUACGAACUCGAUCAAAUAAAUUAAUGAUUGUAAUGUUUUGACAACUAUCGUGACCAAACUUUUUGUAUCGAUAUAAUGAGUUUGCACAAUUGUUGAUGAAAAAUACAGACAUGCGCAAUUUCGAACAAGGUUGAAAGUGACGUCAUUAUUUAUAAGUUAUGUUAAAGUUGUGGAAGUGAAUAAAAUCUAUUGUUAUGAAGCUUUAUAACGCAAA